CAGUGCAUCUCCACGUCCACCACCUCGUCGUCGGCGCCACCGCGAGCAGCGGGGAACCAAAGCUUCAUCCAAGUCACACGCUCUACGGGGAAUUUCUCGCCAGGUAUGUGACUGCGCUUUACCAUUGCUCCGCUUGCGAUUAUACCCUUUGGCCUCCGGCUCUAGUUCAUACUGUGUCUUUUAGGAGUAGUAGGACUCUAGAUUUAUGGGUUUCCACGAUCCGAUCGAAAUGCUGCUGUGGUGGACAAAGCCUCAGUUUCUGAUUCCUCUGCUUCAUUCCCUAUGAGAUACAUCGAUGCCAGAGGCUGUAAUCUAGUUAUGCGUGCCGCUGGGAAAACAUAGAAAUAAUACAUCAUAGCGGAGUGUUGCAUUACUACGGAUACUUCGUGGUUCUUCCCUGGCAACCUCGAUUCCCUUUAACUCAUGGUGGGAAGCAAAAAAUAGGAGACUAAGGUGGUGUUUGGAUCCAAGGUUCAUGGGCUAAAGUUUAGUCCCUAAAAUUUAGCCCCGAAAGUUUAGUCCUUGUGGGGUGUUUGGAUCCAUGAGCUAAAAUUUAGUCUUCCUUGAAGUAAUGACUGAUUUACCCUCAUUUAUUGAUUCUAUGCACAUGCAUGUCUCAAAUUCAUUUAUUGACUCCAUGCACAUGCCAGCCUCGAAUUGGUGUGCUCUCUAUGCACAUGCACGCCUGAAAUAGUUCACUUGAAUCUAUCCAUGCACAUGCACAUGCAUAGGCGCCGCCCGGCCAGAAACACACUGCUGUUCCUGCUGGUCUCUCAAUAUUUUACAAUCAUUCAAGUACACAACUCAGUGGUCCUAGGCAAUACAAGAAAUCAAAUACUCUACGAUCUAUCAUACAAACUUGAGGCUAUUUGAUCACGGAAUGCAUUCAUAUUUGUAUCUUCGUCCUUUGAUUGAGUACUUUGUGUUGGGGGUUGAGAGGUUGAUGCUUCAUGAGGAACAUAGUUCUCAUCACGGUCACAACGAUCAAAGUCCUCAUCCUCCAUAUGACUCUCUCUAAUAAAAUUAUGAAGUGCCAUACAUGCAACAAUUAUCUGGCUUUGCUUUGGCAUUGGAUAACUUGGCACUUUCAACAAAAUCUGCCACUUCAUCUUAAGAACUCCAAAUGACCUCUCGACGCAAUUCCUAAGAGAUGAAUGAGCGAAGUAAAAGGUCUCUUUCAUACCUUUGGGCAUCGGCUCAUGCCUAAACUUUGGAAGAUGGUACUUUGUUCCCUUGUAAGGUGCAACAUAACCAAGCCGAUUGGGGUAUCCAGAGUCCACUAGAUAAAACUUCCCUGCAAAUACGAACAUUAUUGUUACAAACAAAAGCUACAACCAAAGUGGCAUAUAUACUGAAUGUGCAAACAUAGGCACAACAUACCAGGAGGGGGAUGUGGGAACUUGUCUUUGUAUUUGUCCCUUGCAUCAUUGAAAACUCUCAUGUCAUGUACUGAACCAGGCCAGCCCGAAAGAACAAAGUGAACCUCAAGUCAAAGUCACAGACCGCAAGCACAUUCUGUGUAGUGAAGCCCUUUCGACAUACAUGUUGCACCACCUUGUUAUUUGGCACGACAACUGGUAUAUGAGUGUCAUCUAUUGCUCCUAUACAAUUAUUGAAGUGUGGAGAGAACCUAGGAUUCUGUAAACUACAAUGCAUUGUUUUAAAUUCAGGGUCGACCAGCUUAAUUAUAUCACCUACUAGCUAUAUAACACACUUCAAAACUUUGUCAAAAUUGCGGUGAACUGUAUCUAAUGAUAUCUCUAAUCUGUUCUCGGCUUGUCUGACUGACUAAGGUGCACCAACCAUCCAAAGAAACAUUCCUAAGUCCUCUACUGAAGAACUCUUUGAUGUGGACUUUAGGCCAUAUGAUUGCACCAAUAGAUCAUGCAGUCGAUCAAACAGUUGUCUACUCAUUCUAAACAUGUUAUAGCAUUGGACACCAUCUGCUAGAUUUCUCAUCACCCAAUCAUGGCCACUUUCAACCGUCUUUCUCUUCUUAGCUUUAUGGAAGUAAGUGUUAUUGUACAUACCAAACAUAAGUAGAUCCUCUGUGAACUGCCUUCAUAUUCGUUGUCCUCAAUAAUGAGCCUGAAGAGCUCAUCGUCACUUGAAUCACUAUCCACAUCCAUAUCUUGAGACAUAAUAGAUAAUUGCAAUCAGUUAAAUUUAUUUCUAUCAACACAUACACUUCAAACCAAAUUCAAUUCAGCCAACACAUCAGUUCAAAGCACAUUCAUUUCAGGCAACACAAACAAUUCAAAGCAAAUUCAUUUCAAAUCUAGGUUCAAGUAGUACAGACAGUUCAAGUCAUCACAAAUGCAUCAUCACAAAGACAUAAUUCUAAUCUAGGUUGUGCUUCUUGCAAUAUCUCUUCAAGAAGGCCAACCUUCCUUUUGUUGUAGAUAUGUUAAUGAAGAACUCUCUCAUUAGCUCAUUUAAACAAAUCUAGGAAACAACAUAGUACUCCGUACUAGUUUCAUCCACCCCACACUCUAAAACCAAUUUCUGAGCCUGCUUAAUGGUGUUGGACAACUAAGCCUUCCUGUCUUGCCUAGUACAGAUAGCUUGCUUGAUGUAUUCAUUCCUUUCAGCUUGCUGCUUAGAAGAGAAACUAAUGUAAUCCUUCAUCAUUUUGACCAUUGGGCUUUUGGACUUCUUGCUUGAACUUGAAGCUGUUGUGCUAGUACUACUUGUUCUCUUGCGGCUGCUUGUACUCAUAGGACUCUGUGUAUUCUCUUCCUCAGGCUCUUCAUGCUCUAUGGUUGUUUGAUCAUCUGUAUUGGUGUGUCCUGCAAUAAAAGAACCUGAACCAUCCACAACUAGACCAUCAAAUAUGCGUUCAAGCAUUGGUAGAUACUCUGGAGGCCCAUGCCUUAGUUUCUUCCAAUCUGGAUGCUUCUGCACAUGUAGUAGUUGAAGUUAGAAACAGUUUCUUACAGCCUGCACAUGUACUAGAUCAAGAAAUACCUCUGUUGCAGUCUCCCACCAUUCCAAGCUUGCAAUAGGCCACCCAUUUUCAUCGCGGCCUAAGCCAUUGUUGGAAUGGAUAUCUUUUAUGAACUGAUACAUUUCCUUGAGCUGUCUAAUUCUAUUAGCUAUCUGUUUCCUAUCAUGCCUGAGCCCUGACCCGCAGUAAUACUUUUCUAUGAUGAGCUUAUACCCUCUUGUUGUCAUACUCCCUUUGAUGUAGUUACCCAUUUCAAUUUGAUCAACGAGUAAUUGACACAUCAAGUUGUUAUUGUGCUCUGAUGACCAACUUCCUCUGCCAAAUUUAUUCUACCAUAUGCAUCACAAGAACACGCAUUUGAUAUUACUCUAACAGCAAUAGUAAAUUCACGCACUUGUCUGAGAUCAAAGGACAUGAGACUCAUACCUAAUGGCUUGGAAAAAUUUCUUCGACUUCAUUGUCAUCAACAUCGUCGUCGUUGUCGUCUUGCCGUCCACCACGUCGACCUAAGCCACGGCCUACGGAUGCAGCAAGCGCCACCAAAGAAGCUCCACGCAUCCCACGGCCGGUGGCGGGAACAGGUGGCAACCGACCGCGGCGGCCGUGACUGGAUGGCGACGAUUCGCCACGACCUGCUACGGCUCCACCACUGCUCCGAGCAUUGUGUAAACCCAGUGUGCGAGAGCAACCUCUUUUGCCACCGCGCGGUUGAGAGGGAUGAGGCCCCAUGCUCUCGGAUGCAGCCAGUGCGCCGGACUACAAGAUCCCCUGAUAAGCCGCCAUUGAGGACCAGUCAUUCGCCUGCGAGUUGAGGUUGAGUGCCUCAAUGCCAAUCCGGGGACCAUGGACGGAUCCUGACCCGGAUACUGGCUCCCCUCACCAGAGAAAAGGUCGAAGCUGCCGGAGAAGAAGUCCCUAGUGCCGUCAUCGCCGUAUCCGUUCAUCAGCGGCACGCGGAUGUGGAUCUUCUAGCUUGUAGGCGGUUUAGGUGCUCCGACCACAGUGCCACGGCCGAAUGGGGCGGCACCGGAGGAGCACGGGCUACUGGUGUGGUGAGAGGGAGGGGAGGCAGGGGGAGUCGGGCGAUAGGGGUGGACGCGGUGUAGAUGUGGCGAGUGGGGUGCGAGAGGGGUGGCGGCAGACGAAAUCAGGAGAGAGGGGUGGCGGCGGCGAUGCGGGAGCAUUUGAGAGGAAGGGGAGGUGGGGGGAAUCGGGCAAUACGGGCGGAGGCUAUGGAGAUCUGGCGAGAGGGGCGGCGGACUGCGGAUGAGGGCGAUGCGGAUGAGGGCGAGGGGCAGGGUGCGGGCGCGUGCCUAGGGUGUUGUGCGAGGGGAGGGGUAUGGAGCGUCCGGGACCACUUUUAUCUCAGUUUAGGGUCUCUUUGAGGGCUAAAACUUUUAGUCCAAAGUUUAGUUCUUUGCCCCCUUUUGCCCACCUGUUUGGAUUCUAAGAGCUAAAUUUUAAGCUAAAAGUGUAGAACUAAAAUUUAGCUUAUGGAUCCAAACAGGCCCUAAAAGCACCUGCAAAGUGCACAUGUUCUUUUGGCUUGAUCUUCUCUUUCUUUAUGUUACUGCUGGUCCUUAGUUUGGAGCGGCUUCCACGCAACAAUCUCCCAUACAGCGCCGUAGGCAUGCCUGCAUGCCGUGGCCAGAUGCAGGAGACCGUCUCCCAUCCCCUCCUUGUCUGUGCUUUAAGCAGAGAGGUCUUGUUCUUACUUAUUCAGUCGGCUGCGAAGGCUGUGUGUUUCCGAACUUCCGACUCCAGUUGUUUCACCUUUUUCUGUAAAAGUUUGAAAAAUUGCCGGGUCGGUCAGGGUCAAUCCUUGUCUCUCCGCUUUAGUUGACCUUAAAAUAGAUGCUUGAUGUAGACUCUGACUUGGAUGUUCCGGGGCAAGUUCCGAGGUAAGGACGCAUGGCUCAUCAAACCAAGGCGGAAGUGGGAGAUCUAUUCAUUACGCGCGUGACUCGCCCGUAAGGGCAGUCCCAAUGGGACAUUGAUGAUAGUUUCUAUCCCUCUUAAUUAUCAUGCCAACUAAGCAAUUUGCUGAUGUGGUAGUAGAUUUAUUAUGGAGAGAGAGAGAAACCAUUUCUUAGAGAGGAAACCAAGUCCUCACGCGCACCAAUGAGCCAAGAAACCAGCGAAUCUGCAUUGGGGAGACCCAAGUAGUUUCUUCUUACUUAUUGCCGGAUCCUUUGCGCUUGCACCGCUGCUACCCAUCACUCGAGCUCCUUUACAUGAUGCACAGAGGAUCUGGUACUAGAAGGGAGAAUGAUUGGUUGGAUUUUUGUUUAGACUCUAGAUAAAAAAGUUGCAUUGUGAAGAAUGAUUUCUUGAUACAAUAUCCUAGACUAUGGAAACUAGGUUGGUUUCUCCCAUUGGGACUGCCCUAACAAUUUCAGAAUAAUUUCUAUUUUUUAUGCAAAUUUCCUAUUUCUUAUUUGGGAAAUUUUAGUUUGCUUAGAAUAUUUUUACCUGUUCCCGAACAAUUUCUAAAUCUAAAAUUGAAACAACUGUUCCAGCUUCACAGUCAAAUUGUUUCAGCUAGAACAAGUGUGAUUUGUUUGGAAAAUCUUAUUACAAUAAACACAAUGAUGCAAUCGAAAUUUUGGUUGGACACAGGAUUUUGAACAUCAGUUUUUUAGGCCAUAUAUAGUUGCGAAAAGAAAACUAGGAAAACAACUGAAACUUGACUUCUUGUAUUAGGACGUCAACACAGUUGUAAAUCAAAACUCAGCAACAACAUCUAUAUAUCUAGUUAGAUUGGGACGUAAGAGUAGCCGCACCACUAUUGACCGGUCGGACUAUGACAUCAACCAAUGCCGCACAACAUCCACUAGUGGGGAAUAGAUCCUUCAUCCAUUGCAUUAGUGCUGAUUGGAAUUGAGUCCGGUACGAAUGUGAGCAUUAGUACCGAGCCUAAUGGCUAGCCGUGCAGGGCCAUCCCAUGAACACCUUUAGUACCGGUUGGGCGUACCAAAUAGUACUAAAGGGUACACAUUAGUACCGAUUGGUUCCCCCACCUGGUACUAAUGUGCCACCGAGCCUUUAGUACCGAGUGGGGUACCAACCGGUACUAAUCUGCACCCUUUAGUACUUGUUGGUGUCUCUAACCGGUACUAAAUUCCCCCUAUAAAUCCACCUUCUUCUUCUUGCUGCCUGAGCCAUUCACCACAACUCGAGUUUCAUCCUAUCCAUGGUGCCAUAGGGGAGGUGCUGCCUAAUUGAAGAUCAUUUCGUGCAAAUUUCACUCAUUCAAAUGUUCUAAAGGUUAGAAACUUCAUCCUCCCUUGAUACAUGGUUAGUAUACAAAGUUUUGUGCUUUAGCUAGAGUAAUUUGUGAUUUUUAGAAUAAGGUACAAUGGAGAAAAUUUUCAUUUAUUUGCAUGUGUUAUUUAGAGCUCAUCUUUGUGAUUUUUAGAAUAAGCUACAAUUUUUUAGAUGCUAUGUUCGUAUUAGUCAAAGAAAUUGAUAUGAGGUUAGAGGAAUAAUUUCAUAGUUUCGUACUUUUCAAAUAUGAGCUAAAUAAAUUAUGGCAAAUGUGAGCGAGAUAAAUUGUGGUACAUAGAGAUAAUAAGAUGAAAUAGAGGUACAUAAUUAGUCAUUUAUAUGUUAUGUUUGAUCUAAGUAAAUUGUGGGGAAAAUAUAUAAUUUGUUCAUAGUUAGUCAUCUGCAAAUAUGAGCUAAAUAAAUUUUGGUAUAUAGAUAUGGCUUCUGCUGCUAGAGGUAGUGGCGAUGGUGCGGGUGAUCGUCAUUCCUCUCGCGGCAAAGUGAAAACUAUAGUUGGCCUCAUGAUAAGCCGAAGAAAAUGAGCACGUGGAAGAAAAAGCAAUGCUUCGUUAUUUGCAAAGAUGUCAUGAAGAUACUGUUGCGGCAGGUCAGGAACCUCCUUUUGGUGGUCGUUAUGCUCCACCGCUAGUCUCGGGUGUUUCAGGUCCACUUAGU
rnacentral:lncRNA from 1 species